rnacentral:rRNA from 1 species
GAACGCUGGCGGCGUGCUUAACACAUGCAAGUCGUGCGCGAAAGCGGCUUCGGCCGCGUGUAGAGCGGCGAACGGGUGAGUAACACGUGGACAACCUGCCCAAGAGUGGGGGAUAACCUGGGGAAACUCGGGCUAAUACCGCAUACGUUCGUGGGGGCUUCGGCCCUGCGCAGAAAGGUGGCCUAUGCUUGCAAGCCACCGCUCCUGGAGGGGUCCGCGUCUGAUUAGCUAGUUGGCGGGGUAAUGGCCCACCAAGGCGACGAUCAGUAGCCGGCCUGAGAGGGUGAUCGGCCACACUGGAACUGAGACACGGUCCAGACUCCUACGGGAGGCAGCAGUGGGGAAUAUUGGACAAUGGGGGAAACCCUGAUCCAGCAACGCCGCGUGGAGGAUGAAGGUCUUCGGAUUGUAAAACUCCUGUUAGGGGGGGACGAAGGGGAUGUCGGCAAACAGCCGGCAAAACUUGACGGUACCCCCCAGAGGAAGCCCCGGCUAACUCUGUGCCAGCAGCCGCGGUAAUACAGAGGGGG